rnacentral:rRNA from 1 species
CCUACGGGAGGCAGCAGUGGGGAAUUUUGGACAAUGGGCGCAAGCCUGAUCCAGCCAUGCCGCGUGCGGGAAGAAGGCCUUCGGGUUGUAAACCGCUUUUGUCAGGGAAGAAAUCCUUUGGGCUAAUACCUCGGAGGGAUGACGGUACCUGAAGAAUAAGCACCGGCUAACUACGUGCCAGCAGCCGCGGUAAUACGUAGGGUGCGAGCGUUAAUCGGAAUUACUGGGCGUAAAGCGUGCGCAGGCGGUUAUGCAAGACAGAUGUGAAAUCCCCGGGCUUAACCUGGGAACUGCAUUUGUGACUGCAUAGCUCGAGUACGGCAGAGGGGGAUGGAAUUCCGCGUGUAGCAGUGAAAUGCGUAGAUAUGCGGAGGAACACCGAUGGCGAAGGCAAUCCCCUGGGCCUGUACUGACGCUCAUGCACGAAAGCGUGGGGAGCAAACAGGAUUAGAUACCCUGGUAGUCCACGCCCUAAACGAUGUCAACUGGUUGUUGGACGGCUUGCUGUUCAGUAACGAAGCUAACGCGUGAAGUUGACCGCCUGGGGAGUACGGCCGCAAGGUUGAAACUCAAAGGAUUGACGGCUGAGAGNGCGACGACGACGACGAGGGAGGAGG